rnacentral:misc_RNA from 1 species
GGCCGUUGGAGCAGGUCGUGGGCUUGGUAGUCGAGGAGGGGACACAUGUCAGUGGCAUGGAGAUGGUCCUUUCCUUUGCGCAGGAUCCGUUGGGGCUUGUCGGGGAGAAGAGGACGGCGGCGUGGAGGUGCUGUUAGGGUUUUGUUGGGAGGCUGGAGAGAAAGGGUUUGUUGGAUAGGUUAAAAUGGAGAAGAGGUGUGUUGAU